rnacentral:rRNA from 1 species
GUCUCUCUUGAGUGGAUCCUGAGUACGACGGAGCACGUGAAAUUCCGUCGGAAUCUGGGAGGACCAUCUCCUAAGGCUAAAUACUCUCUAGUGACCGAUAGUGAACCAGUACCGUGAGGGAAAGGUGAAAAGCACCCCGGAAGGGGAGUGAAAUAGAACCUGAAACCGUGUGCUUACAAGUAGUCAGAGCCCGUUAAUGGGUGAUGGCGUGCCUUUUGUAGAAUGAACCGGCGAGUUACGAUUUGAUGCAAGGUUAAGCAGUAAAUGUGGAGCCGUAGCGAAAGCGAGUCUGAAUAGGGCGUUUAGUAUUUGGUCGUAGACCCGAAACCAGGUGAUCUACCCUUGGUCAGGUUGAAGUUCAGGUAACACUGAAUGGAGGACCGAACCGACUUACGUUGAAAAGUGAGCGGAUGAACUGAGGGUAGCGGAGAAAUUCCAAUCGAACCUGGAGAUAGCUGGUUCUCUCCGAAAUAGCUUUAGGGCUAGCCUCAAGUGAUGAUUAUUGGAGGUAGAGCACUGUUUGGA